rnacentral:rRNA from 1 species
UACGUAGGGGGCUAGCGUUAUCCGGAAUCACUGGGCGUAAAGCGUCUGUAGGUGGUCAAAUAAGUCAACUGUUAAAUCUUGAGGCUCAACCUCAAAACCGCAGUCGAAACUAUUAGACUAGAGUAUAGUAGGGGUAAAGGGAAUUUCCAGUGGAGCGGUGAAAUGCGUAGAGAUUGGAAAGAACACCGAUGGCGAAGGCACUUUACUGGGCUAUGACUAACACUCAGAGACGAAAGCUAGGGUAGCAAAUGGG